GACAGAGGUGCCAAGCGUUAGGCGGAAUCACUGGGCUUAAAGCGUGUGUAGGCGGAUGUCUAAGUACCUUGUGAAAUCCCACGGCUCAACCGUGGAACUGCUUGGUAUACUGGAUGUCUUGAGCCAUCUAGGGGCUACCGGAACAAAUGGUGGAGCGGUGAAAUGCGUAGAUAUCAUUUGGAACGCCAAUGGUGAAAACAGGUAGCUGGGGAUGUGCUGACGCUGGAGACACGAAAGCCAGGGGAGCAAAACGGGG
rnacentral:rRNA from 1 species